rnacentral:misc_RNA from 1 species
GAUGAAGAACGCAGCGAAAUGCGAUAAGUAAUGUGAAUUGCAGAAUUCAGUGAAUCAUCGAAUCUUUGAACUCACAUUGCGCCCGCCAGUAUUCUGGCGGGCAUGCCUGUCUGAGCGUCAUUUCAACCCUCAUGCCCCUAGGGCGUGGUGUUGGGGAUCGGCCAAAGCCCGCGAGGGACGGCCGGCCCCUAAAUCUAGUGGCGGACCCGUCGUGGCCUCCUCUGCGAAGUAGUGAUAUUCCGCAUCGGAGAGCGAUGAGCCCCUGCCGUUAAACCCCCAACUUUCCAAGGUUGACCUCAGAUCAGGUAGGAAUACCCGCUGAACUUAAGCAUAUCAAUAAGCGGAGGA